AACGAACGCUGGCGGCAGGCCUAACACAUGCAAGUCGAGCGAAGCCUUCGGGCUUAGCGGCGGACGGGUGAGUAACGCGUGGGAACGUGCCCUUUGGUACGGAAUAGCCCCGGGAAACUGGGAGUAAUACCGUAUGUGGUCGAGAGACGAAAGAUUUAUCGCCAAAGGAUCGGCCCGCGUUGGAUUAGGUAGUUGGUGGGGUCAUGGCCUACCAAGCCGACGAUCCAUAGCUGGUUUGAGAGGGUGAUCAGCCACACUGGGACUGGGACACGGCCCAGACGCCUUCGGGAGGCAGCAGUGGGGAAUCUUUGACAAUGGAGGAAACCCUGAUCGAGCCAUGCCGCGUGAUCGAUGAAGGCCUUAGGGUUGUAAAGAUCUUUCAGUGGGGAAGAUAAUGACUGUACCCACAGAAGAAGCCCCGGCUAACUCCGUGCCAGCCGCCGCUGUAACAC
rnacentral:rRNA from 1 species